CCUGUUUUGGCACUAAAUAUAUUAAAUUUGGAACAAUGCAAAGAAGAUGAGCCCUUAUUCCUGAGCAAAGGUGAUAUACAAAUCUGUGAAGUGGUCCAUGUAUUU
rnacentral:snRNA from 1 species